AGAGGGCACCGUAUCUCAAGACAUGACUGGAGAGAAAAACUGUUUGGAGAACUGUGUCUAGUCAAUGCACUUUACUGUUUAAUGUAUGCAACUUGCUACUAGGAGUUCAGAUUCGGUUAUAUUGUUGGAGACGGUGACAUUUUCUGCUGAAAACCACCAAGAUCAACGGACUAAAGACCCUAAAGAAACCAACUAUCCAAUAGGUGUGGACCAAAGACUCAAAAGAAAGGAAAACAAACACAAAACACAAAGGAGAGGAUGAAAGAGGUCUCCGGUGGAUGGCUGUCAAGUCACCGUCAUUCACCUACCUCGUCACCUGCGGCAGGUCCAUGAGUGGGGCAGAGAGGAGGCCCAGUCUGCAGUCAACACAUUCGGCCUCGGAGCACCAAGCAGACAUGGUGGCAGCAGCUGCAAGUCUAAAAACAACCAUCACUCCAGGCCUUGCUUCAUGACAGGCUGUCAUGAAGUGGUCAAAAGACUGCCAGCCCACCUGUAAAUUAUGUCUGACUGUUGAGGUGUGCAACUGGCUUUCCGUAUAAAAAAAUAUUUAAAAAACA